UGUUAUUAUAAUAUAUAUUGUCUAUAAUACUUAUAGUUUAUUUAUAAUAUAUUAAGUUACUUAGUUAGUAAGACAAGUGGGCUCUCUAACACAAGAUAAAACUUAACUUCGUAAAAGAGCUUACAUCAGAUAUAUAUAGAAAGAAAAUCUCAACCAGACGUCUAGCUUGAGUCGGCUUGAGCUAUGUAGAGCAACAAUGGUGGAGUGGGACAGGAAGACCUCAUUAAACAGAAUGCCAUAGAAAUGUAGCUCAGUGGCUUUCAGUCGAGAUUGUAGCGGACAAAGAUUGAUAUAACAAUGAAUUAUCCGGCGAUCCGGCAGGCUUAGAACUUGAAUGGAAUCUGAGUGUCUAAUCGUUAAAAACCCAGACUACUCUAACUAAUUGCUAGAAAUCUUCAGUGUAUUAAUUUCCAAGGGUGCCACGUUUGCUCACUUCGUGCAAUAAACGCAAAUGUGAUACCACUUCAAA